GAGAUCCGGCUAGCGAUUGCUUGAUUUCCGCCCCACAAAUGAAAUAAUCUCACGCCGGAUUCAGAUCCGGCUAGCGAUUGCUUGAUCCGGUAAUUUUCACAGUGAUCACGACAAAAUGCACUUACCCCCAUGUGAUGACAGCUGGAGGUUUCAACCCCCUCUAUUCUCUGUCCCUGUCUUCCUGAUGGCCGGAGAGGACGAUAUCCUCCCAAUAUGACUGAAAGUAUUCAAUUAUAUAGGGCAUGUUUGGCUAAGCUUAUUAGAGGUAAAAAGGACUUUUAGGAAAAGGACUUUUGGGAAAAGGACUUUUUGAAAAGGAGUUUUAAAAAAAAGUGUUUGGAUUAGCUUAUUGAUGUAAAAUGACUAAAAUGGGCAUUCUUUUAGAUAUAAGGGGGUAAAGAAGGGUUAUAUUG
rnacentral:lncRNA from 1 species